rnacentral:rRNA from 1 species
CCUACGGGAGGCAGCAGUGAGGAAUAUUGGUCAAUGGACGAGAGUCUGAACCAGCCAAGUAGCGUGAAGGAUGACUGCCCUAUGGGUUGUAAACUUCUUUUAUAUGGGAAUAAAACAGGGUAUGCAUACCCUCUUGUAUGUACCAUAUGAAUAAGGAUUGGCUAACUCCGUGCCAGCAGCCGCGGUAAUACGGAGGAUCCGAGCGUUAUCCGGAUUUAUUGGGUUUAAAGGGAGCGUAGGUGGAUUGUUAAGGCAGUUGUGAAAGUUUGCGGCUCAACCGUAAAAUUGCAGUUGAAACUGGCAGUCGUGAGUACAGUAGAGGUGGGCGGAAUUCGUGGUGUAGCGGUGAAAUGCUUAGAUAUCACGAAGAACUCCGAUUGCGAAGGCAGCUCACUGGACUGCAACUGACACUGAUGCUCGAAAGUGUGGGUAUCAAACAGGAUUAGAUACCCGAGUAGUC